UGCAAGUCGAACGGUGAAGCAGGAGCUUGCUCCUGUGGAUCAGUGGCGAACGGGUGAGUAACACGUGAGAAAUCUGCCCUGGACUCUGGGAUAAGCGUUGGAAACGACGUCUAAUACCGGAUACGAGCUUCAGCCGCAUGGCUAGGAGCUGGAAAGAACUUCGGUCCAGGAUGAUCUCGCGGCCUAUCAGCUAGUUGGUGAGGUAACGGCCCACCAAGGCGACGACGGGUAGCCGGCCUGAGAGGGUGACCGGCCACACUGGGACUGAGACACGGCCCAGACUCCUACGGGAGGCAGCAGUGGGGAAUAUUGCACAAUGGGCGCAAGCCUGAUGCAGCAACGCCGCGUGAGGGACGACGGCCUUCGGGUUGUAAACCUCUUUUAGUAGGGAAGAAGCGAAAGUGACGGUACCUGCAGAAAAAGCACCGGCUAACUACGUGCCAGCAGCCGCGGUAAUACGUAGGGUGCAAGCGUUAUCCGGAAUUAUUGGGCGUAAAGAGCUCGUAGGCGGUUUGUCGCGUCUGCUGUGAAACCCGGAGGCUCAACCUCCGGCCUGCAGUGGGUACGGGCAAACUAGAGUGCGGUAGGGGAGAUUGGAAUUCCUGGUGUAGCGGUGGAAUGCGCAGAUAUCAGGAGGAACACCGAUGGCGAAGGCAGAUCUCUGGGCCGUAACUGACGCUGAGGAGCGAAAGCGUGGGGAGCGAACAGGAUUAGAUACCCUGGUAGUCCACGCCGUAAACGUUGGGAACUAGAUGUGGGGGCCAUUCCACGGCUUCCGUGUCGCAGCUAACGCAUUAAGUUCCCCGCCUGGGGAGUACGGCCGCAAGGCUAAAACUCAAAGGAAUUGACGGGG
rnacentral:rRNA from 1 species